GACGAACGCUGGCGGCGUGCCUAACACAUGCAAGUCGAACGGAAAGGCCCUGCUUUUGCGGGGUGCUCGAGUGGCGAAGGGGUGAGUAACACGUGAGUAACCUGCCCUUGUCUUUGGGAUAACUUUACGAAAAUGCGGAUAAUACCCGAUAGGAGCUCCUGCAGCAUGGUGGGGGUUGGAAAGUUUCGGCGUUUGGGGCUGGACUCGCGGGUUAUCGGCCUGAUGGUGUGGUAGUGGCUUACCAAGGCUUUGAAGGGUAGCCGGCCUUAGAGGGUGGCCGGGCACAAUGGUACUAAGGUACGGCGCAGUCUGGUACGGGCCGCAGUAGUGGAGAGUAUUGCACAGCGGGGGGAAGUGUGAGACAGCGGCCCUGCGUGCGGAAUAACGGGCUACGAGUUAUAAACAACUGUGUCCUUUGACGAAGCGGUAGUGACGGUAAUGAGUAAAGAAGCACCGGCUAACUACGUG
rnacentral:rRNA from 1 species